CCUACGGGCUGCAGCAGUGGGGAACAUUGCACAAUGGGCGCAAGCCUGAUGCAGCCAUGCCGCGUGUGUGAAGAAGGCCUUCGGGUUGUAAAGCACUUUCAGCGGGGAGGAAGGCGAUAAGGUUAAUAACCUUGUCGAUUGACGUUACCCGCAGAAGAAGCACAGGCUAACUCCGUGCCAGCAGCCGCGGUAAUACGGAGGGUGCAAGCGAUAAUCGGAAUUACUGGGCGUAAAGCGCACGCAGGCGGUCUGUCAAGUCGGAUGUGAAAUCCCCGGGCUCAACCUGGGAACUGCAUUCGAAACUGGCAGGCUAGAGUCUUGUAGAGGGGGGUAGAAUUCCAGGUGUAGCGGUGAAAUGCGUAGAGAUCUGGAGGAAUACCGGUGGCGAAGGCGGCCCCCUGGACAAAGACUGACGCUCAGGUGCGAAAGCGUGGGGAGCAAACAGGAUUAGAUACCCUGGUAGUC
rnacentral:rRNA from 1 species